UGGAAUAAAUAUAUAGUCAUAUAAAAGGAGAGAUCUUCACUUCUAGGGUUUCAUGCGCCGCACUCAAUGUAGUAAUUCUAGGGCUUCUCCCCAAACUCAACCCUAAAUCUAUCUGCGCACAACCUUUAUCAGAUCGAAAACUCCCAAUCUCUAGUCCAAACCUUUCAACCUCUUGCACAAUUCGAAACUCUUUCUAAAAUUUCAGAUCUGCGUUCUUCUUUUUCGAAAUAAACGCCCCACAAAUCAACGCUCUUCUUCAAGUGAAAAAAUCACUUGUACAAAUUCAGAUGCUCAAGCGCAAUCGCAUCUGUUUCUGCCAACUGUAGCCAUACCCUCAGACACAAUAUGCAACAUUUGGGAAGCAGAAAACAUAAAAAACCGAAGCAUCUUCAUCAAAUCGGAGUAUUAUGUUUAAAAAGUUUUACCAGAAUCAUUGUACCAACGAUUCUAAAACAAAAG